CAGAUGCUUGUCUGGAUCUGAAUGGGAUAUCACCACUGAACCCUGUACAUGUCGCCUUGAGCUUCAUGAUGAAAGAAAGUUGGGAUAGAAAAGUAAUACAGUAAAGAGAUGACUGUUUGGAAGGUAAACUCUAAUAUGAUUUCAUAGCUUCUUUUGAAUAACUACAGGCCAUUCUACAGCUGUGGGUUGUGUGCAAUGAAGUUCUACUCAGAGCAGAGCCACUGAAAUUAAUGGAACUAAGUUAGUCAUAUUAAUUAAUUUCAAUGGUUUUGCUCUUAGUAUGAUGGACAUUGGAUCCAACCCUUUGAUUUUAUAGCUGGCCAUGAUGUCCAUAUCAACUGAACUACUGAGAAUACCAAAGCAUACUCCAUAAAUCCGAUUACUCUUCCAUGCAAUACAAAUUCAUAACCAACAUUUGCUAAACCUCCUUGUCCAGAUUUAAUUUACAAAUUUCACUUUCGCUAUUUAUAUUAUCAUCUAUGAAUGAAACACAUCUGUGGUGUUACACACAUCCUUGGGAUGAGACAUACCAUCUUUCCAGGUCUGAUCACACCUCUGCUGGCUCCUCAGUAGUUUUCCUCCUGGCAACUAUUAUCACCUCAGCAAGCUUGAGAAAGUUGUAUUUCAGCUAGUUUCCUCCAUUUUCUCCUAGCAGGAAUACAACACAGUCAAUGUUUGCUGAGAAGUAUGUCUGGCAUGCCAUGUUGGGAGGAGUGGUGGAUGAAUAGCAGAUUCCCUUGACUGAUUGCUUCCUUAUGUCAUAAAUAAUGCUUUACAUGCCUAGAAUUUGUGGGUCUCUGAAUUCAUCACUUUCUAAAAUGUCAUUCAAAGUUAAGAGUAGAUUACAAAAGCAUAAACAGACCAGUUCAGAAAGAAAGAGAGAUGCAGCUUCCAAGUAAAGUCAUGAUAAAUAACGGUUUCACAGGUCUUGAAGAAAGUGAAUCAUUUCCAGUUUUCACUCAGUAUAACUUUUUCACACUGAGAAAAGAUAACUUUAAGAGGUGAAAAAUGGUCCUUUUCACAUGUGAACACUGAAAAGGGUUGGGGAAAAUCCUUCACCAUUUCAUACCAACACUUUCAAAUCGUACUCACGUAAUAUAAAAUUACUCCCUGCCUAUUAACACACAUAGGUCAAAGGUCUGAAUCAAUGAGGUUACAACCCUUUAUAUAUUUACAGUGGUACCUCGGGUUAAGUACUUAAUUCAUUCGGGGGUCUGUUCUUAACCUGAAACUGUUCUUAACAGUUACCACUGUAGUUUAGGUACCACUGUAGUUCCUAAAUAUGGCUAUUUUUCCUCUUCUUUAUUUAUUCAUCCACAUGUUACAACAAUUAUCUGCCAGUGUGGUGUAGUGGUUAAGAGCGGUGGACUCAUAAUCUGGUGAACCGGGUUUGAUUCCCCGCUCCUCCACAUGCAGCUGCUGGGUGACCUUGGGCUAGUCACAUUUCUUUGAAGUCUCUCAGCCCCACUCACCUCACAGAGUGUUUGUUGUGGGGGAGGAAGGGAAAGGAGAAUGUUAGCCACUUUGAGACUCCUUCGGGUAGUGAUAAAGCGGGAUAUCAAAUCCAAACUCUUCUAAUUUGCAUUGAUUCCACUGGGUCAGGAGGAAAUAAUUAAGAUCAGGAAUUUUUUUAGGUGCCUCUGCUGAUUAUAUAUAUAUAUAUGUCUAAUUCCUUUACUUGCAGCAAUUACAAUAUUUUGAAAGCUACCUGUGUUUCUCAGAUAAUUUAACAAGCAUGCCAUUAUUAUAUUUCCUUACAAGUGUAAUUGCAAUCAUUUUAAUUAUAUUUAAUUAUAAUUCUACACAUUUUAAACUCCAAAAUAUCAAGUGAUUUUGAAAUUAUAAAUAAUUUAAUUAUGCCAUUAAAUCUGACUGCUUUAUUGCACUGGGUUCAUUAUUGAGCAACUGCAGCAGCUGAGUAGCUAAGGUGUCCUGUACUUUCGUAGUGCAACCAUGCACAUACAUGCCUCCUCAGAAAUAAGCUGCAACGAAAUAGAUUGGGGCUAUAACAUUCUAUCAUUAUAAAGCAGGGGUCAGCAAACUUUUUCAGCAGGGGGCCGGUCCACUGUCCCUCAGACCUUGUGGGGGGGCGGCCUUUUGGGGGGGGAGGGGGAAAUGAACGAAUUCCUAUGCCCCACAAAUAACCCAGAGAUGCAUUUUAAAUAAAAACACACAUUCUACUCAUGUAAAAAACACCAAGGAGACCCCACAAAUAAAAGGACACAUUCUACUCAGGUAAAAACACGCUGAUUCCCGGACUGUCCAUGGGCCGGAUUUAGAAGGCGAUUGGGCCAGAUCCGAUGUUAUAAAGCAUAGAUUUGAUUCCAUGCAAAGCUGAUAGAAUUGUGGCAAUAGUGAAAAAGGGAUAGCAAAAAGUAAACUUUCCUACCUUUACAGUGCAUAAUUAUGGGAGUGACGAUUAUAGCACUGGUGUGUGUGCCACAGUUUGCGGUUUAAAGAAUGCAAAGUAGAAGAACUUGAUCCUGCACACGUAGUAUUUGAUAGUGUGCAUGUUGAGAGAUCAAACAUGGAUUCUAGUCCCUGCCACUUCUCUCCUGUCUGAGUGCAUUAAUUACAGGACUUUGGGGAAAGAAAAUGUUCCAGGAAGCAUGAAAAGAAACUAAUGUACCAGAUUUGAUUAGUUAUCAGGACAGAGAUGCCACCUACUUUGGCUCGUUAAUUGGAAUAUGUCUUGAGUUUGUCUGCUGGAUGUUUUAAACUUCAGUGUAAGUGUUUUGUCAGUUUCAAAAAUGUAUCUUGUUAAAUCAUUACCUGGCUAGCAAUUACUUCAGCACUUCAUGUACAACAAAAGAGGGUGGUAUUUAUUUAUUUUAAUAAGGUGGAUACAGUUAAUGGAAAUAUAGAGAACACAAUCUUUUGAAGAAAAACAUUAUGCCAUACCUGUUGACCUAAUAGUGAAUGUAUUGAGUAGAGUCAAUUUUAUAUACACUGAUGAUUUAUUUAUUUAUUUUGCAGCAAACCAUUUACACAAAGCAGUGAUGAUGAACCUUUGUGCCCCCCAAGCAAAGAGAUAUUUCAAAGCUUAGCCCCCCCUCCAGGCAUUAAAUGUGCCCAGCUUCCCCCUGGCACCGGCAGAAAUGAAUUUUUCCCCCUGUCAGCAAAGCAUUAUGUUCUGCAAGCAUAAGGGGCUAUAGGAGUGGUUUUAUCUCAGCAAGUGGUUGUAACUCAACAGCAGGAGGCUUUGAUGCUAAGGACACUGUCAUUGAAGUAUACAGUGUAUUUAGGACACUUAAAAUAAGUGUAGAAUUACCAACUCUAAUUAAAUUAUGUUAUUACCCACCUCAAUUACAGCAGUUAAAAUCUAUGGCAAUAUAUAUUCAACAUUUAAAUACUAAAUUAUAGUGAUUUAUGGUUGUUUUGCGUUACAACAAUAGUAGGUAGAAUAUGAUAACAACAAAUAUGAGUCAUGAGUUGGAUCCUGCAGUUCAUACGCAGGCAAUAUACUCAUUGAUCUCAACAGGAUACUUGCUUGCGUAAAAGCUACAGGAUCAAACUCAUUAUGAACAGUGAGUCACCCCAGGAUUGUAAAACCAAUCAGUAUAUAAGAAGGAAAGGAUAUUCAAAAACUAUUUUUCAUAUCAGAAUAUUUCUAGUGGAUGCAUAGAGCAUUUCUUGAUAUGAUGCCAACUUGACAAAAUGUUGCAAGCUGACAAACAACUUAUCAGUUCCAUAUAGAGAUAGGCGAUUUCUCCUUGGGUUAACUUGGAAAUGAUCCAAGUUUCCUUGAAAAAAAUAUUAAGGAGUAUCAUUUUUUUCCUGAGCCAAUAUGAGUGGCACAAUGGGUCAGUGCAUCUGCCUGUUAACCAGAAGGUUGGUGGUUUGAGUCCAGUCAUGGACAGCUUUGGGCAGGAUUCUUGCAUGGCAGGAGGUUGAACUAGAUGACGCUAGGUGAAUAUGAUGAAUAUAAGAAUAGGCACACACAAACAAAACAGACAACUGAGAAAUGUACCAUGUAAUUCUGCACACUCUCUAAUGAGAAUGGAGAUUGCAUUUUUCCCUGAAUUACUUUACAAAUAUUUUAGAACCUGUUAUAUCAUUAAGCAUCUAACAGCUUGCUGAGUUAAAUCAGAUUUGUAAAGUCAUCAUCUUAAAUUUAUAAUUGCCAAAACCUGCUACUGUUGCACCACAAAAUUAAGAAAAUGUAAGUAGUUGCUUGCAGAUUGUCAGUACUUCUAAUGUAAUUUUAGAAAUAUAACUUUUAAAAUACCAAAUUCUAUCAGGAUAGCCAUGUUAACAGCAAAACAACAGAAUGUUUAAGUUGCUACAGGACUGUUCUUCUUCUUAAUAUAACAGCACACUUAUAAGACAUCAAAAAAUCAAUGAUAAUAUGUGAUUGAUUACCUUGCAGUUCUUUUGUGUGACUAUCCAAAGGAAAUAAUUUGCUUACAGUGCCAUUGUGCUUGGUUGCUGCUUAUGCCUUCACUUCUUGCUAAGCGGUUCCCACUGCUAAGACAGAAAGCAAGUGUAGAAUAGGGUUUCCAGGGACAGUCCCCAGAUUUGCAAAUCUGUCCCUGGACAAAUUCCAUCCCCAGAAUGUCCCCAGAUUUGCAAAUCUGUCCCCAGGAAACGUGGCAGUGGCAGCCUCAGCAGCCUGGUAGCGCAGUUGGCUCUGGCUGGCUUCAGGAGCUGCUCGCUGCCACCGCCACGACCAAAGGGGAACCAGGGACAUCUGGCGGUACAGAUCUCCUUCCCCCUUCGCCCUUUGUUUUGACAGAUCGGGGCAGGCUCGGGAGUCAUGCGUGGGCAGGCGCUGCUCAAGAGGGGUACAAGAUGCAUGGUUUCUCUGCAAGGCAAGGUGCAAAGCCCUUCUUUUGCACCCUGUGAAACAUAAACGAGCAGAGGUUUUUUUAAAAAAAAAUUGGCAACAGCUGCCCACCCAUGAUUCCCAAGCCUCCCCCAAUCUGUCAAAACAAAGGGGGCAGGGGGCAGGAGAUCGGAGGAGGCUCAGGAGUUACGGGUAGGUGGCUGUUGCCCAGUUUUUAAAAAAAUCUGUGCAUUUAUGUUUCACAGGGUGCAAAAGAAGGGCUUUGCACCUUUUUACAAUAUGCAUGUGUGCUUGGGCCCAGGGUCUUUUGCCUCACCAUCCCCACUACUGACUCCCUGUUGCUACUCAGCUUAAAAAAAAAGUGUCACUGGAUUCAUUGAAAAAAAUCUGCUAACCAUAGUGUAGAACUCAGGGCCUAACCACAUGUUAAUUGUGUGGUUUGCAGUUCAUGUCAGGAGAUUUAAAUAAUCUAAUCCUAGACGCCCACACCCAACCCCCAAUUUCCAUCAGGAGUGUAGUUCAGAGGGAACAUUUUUCUAUUAUUAAUUACAGUAAGAGAAGGGGGAUUUCCUCUGGGAGCGUGUCUGGGUAGGGUGGCCAUUUAUAAUCACCCCCAGAGGAAGACAGCCUGCAUAAAUUGAAUAUAGUAAUGUAUGUGAUGUCUCCUCCCACUCCUCUCCUGGCCAUAUGUUUUAUUAGGGUCUUUUUAUUAUUAUUUAAAAAACCAUAAUUAAAUGUUAGCCCUGCCCCAACAUAAUUUGGAAGAAAUUGGCCAUGAGUGGGUUGGCUGGUGUCCUUCCAGAUUUCAGCCGCAGGCUGGAUCAAGGGGCUGUGCACAACCCUAGCCAGUUUGUUCAGCCUUGAUGUUAAUGUCUCAUGGACUGGAAAACACAACUUUCUUCACUUAUUGAUAUAUGGCUGUCGAUUUAUUUUAGAUUGACAUGAACUGUGAUCCUGCAACCUGGCAGGAUUGGCAGGGGAGAAGGAAAGGGCUCUCCCUUACACUUCCUGCAAAUGCAUUAACAUUAAUGAUAAUAUACUAUUCCUAUUUUUUAUGCUCAGCCUAUGGUACACAUGGGUUUGUCAAAUUUUAUAAAAAUUUAAUGGAGACACCAUAAAAUAUUGAUAGUACCACAGAAAGCCCCCAAGACCAACAUGUUUAAUUAAUCAGGCAUUCAAAUAAAUAGAUAAAGCCACAUUAAGAUAAAUUUAGAUAAAACCACGUUUACAGAAGAACAUGGUAGAAGUCAUCACGGACCCAGAUAAUGAACAGACUAUAUUUUUAAAUGAUGGGUGUUUUACUGCAGCAUAUAUACAAGACUGUGUCUGUAUACAGAAAGCUCAGUUCACCCUUUAAUAUGAAAACUGCUGCCACUGUUGCACAAUAUAUGAACAUGUCAUACAAUCAGACACUCAUAUACUUUUAAAAUGCUUGAUACCAAAAGAAGUUGAGGUUUAUCUUUAAAAGAAUGGCAGAUUCCUCUCUAACAUUAAUAAAACUUGCAGUUUUCUGUUACACAUUUUCAUAGGUUUAUUAGUUUAUGUAAUAUUUCCUUAUAAAAUUUGCAUGUGGAAAUGUGGAAGACAUUCUAAAUAAACAUGCCUGCGUGAAUUUUUCAAAUAAAUCAAGUUACUAUGUAGACUGAAAUGUCAAUUUGUUUUUGUUUGAGAUUACUUUCCAUUUCUGUUUCUUUCUCUGCUAUACAUGUAUGUUUGUAUACAAAAUUUGUCUCUUUAAAAUCUGGCUAUAAUUGGAGUAGGUGUGAGGAUGCUAUUAAUUCCACACUUAAAUGCUGCUGUCCAGUUUCAAAGAUUCAAAUUUUUUCAUCUUGUGACCUCAAGAAAUGAAAGUGGUGUUUAAGCACCAUCAUACUUUAAGCAUGAUCAUAUUUUUCUACUUCUGAUUUUUCUGCACUGGUUACUUUUUCCAUGUUGCAUUCAGUAUAAGCAUAUGCUAUUACUUAAAAUGUUUCAUACUUUUGUUCUUACUUAUUUUUCAUCUUUGGUCUCUACAUAUUUGCCUUCUUGAACUUUGUUUCUGCUGUUUCUUUGGUUGCAUUCAGACAUAACUCUAAACUAUGAUUUAUUAUUACAAUAAGAGGUUUAGCCCGCCCGCCCUGGGCUUAUACAUUCUCCCCUCCCCUCUUUCAACAUAGCUGCAAGUAGAUUGAAGUUUCUGCUUCUAGUUUAGAUUAACCACAGUUUAGCGGUUGUCUAAUCCCUAAACUGUAGUUAAUGUCAACUGUGGUUAGUGAAAAUUCAUUUAAAAUGCUUUGAAACUGGCUUGUUGAUGAAGUGAAGGACAUGAGGCAGGAGUUGAUAAUGCAGGUGAGCUGUACACAAGCAAGCUGCCAGCUAGCUCUGUGGAUGCUCCUUUUAUUGACACAAAAUGCAAACCCAGGCAGAUACAUUUUGGGCUGUGACCUUUACACAUCUUCCAGUCCCGAGACUGUGGGGUGGUACAAAGUUAUUUUGGCAUCUGUUUCCACCUCAUCAUUUUCCCAUUCCACAAUGUAUGACGAAAGAGACAAAGGUCUCAGAGACAAAGGUCACAGACAGGACACAGCAGACUACUGAGACCGCAAAAGGUUAGACAGAGGGCAAGAUGUUCAGACAGCUGUGGGCUUAUCUGUGAGGGGGAGUGUGCUCCGCUCCGCACCCCAAGGUGCACACAGCUGAGGCUGUCCGCGGGCGGGAGUGUGCUCCACAACCCAGCGAUCAUUCUUGCAGUUUCCAUUAACCGUAGUUGAGAUUGAUCAAUUUGUCCAUCUAUGGAAAACACAGGAAGCUGUGGUUGUUUAAUAAUAAUAAUAAUAAUAAUAAUAAUAAUAAUAAUAAUAAUAUUAAAAACCAACCCCAGGAGCAAAAUCUUCCAUGUUGGAAGAGAGGGGAAAGCCUGGGUUGAAGUUAGACUUACUCUUGCAACACUAAUUUACUGUAUGUUUGUACAUUAUAUCCAAUCCAGACCUCUCCUUUUGUUUCUUCUACUUCCUCUUAUUGCUCUGUAUUCAUUGAAUUUGUAGCCAGCUGAUAUUUGUUUAGCUAGUUCUCUUCAAUUGCUUGAAAAAUUCCUCAUCUAUUUAUGCUAAGCCUAUACUGAAGCUGCUGUUGUUUAAUUUAGCAUUAAUCUUAUCAUCAUCUGGUUUUUAAUUAUUUUUCAUUUUCUUCUUGUCUAGAAGACUACAAGCCUCUCUGGGUAGCAGAUUACAACAAGAUCUAAGAUAUAAUUGAAAGGUUUUUGAGAACAGCGUACACAAAAUCACAAGCUUAUUGGCUGUGAGUCCUGGAUGACGUGCUUCCCGCCUUGCAGGCCUUUUCUACCUGGUCUGGGGCCCUUAUUGACUCCAGCUACCAAAGCUGAGGCUUCCGAACAAACUCUUUGGCUAAGGUAUUGUUUGGGGGUUUUGUUGGGGUUUCCUUUUUGCUGUUAUUGAUAUUAUUGUUUUGUGUCUUUUAAAAUAUGUGGAUUUAGGUGGAAAUGUUUCAUUUUGAUGUUUUAUUUAUUCUUUAUGACUACUCUUGUUAAAUUUUGAAUUAAGUCCCCUCCCCAUGUUGUAAGCGGCCUUGAACAUGGAUUUAACUAUGGAAAGGUGGCUUACAAAUAAUAUUUUGUAAGGAUGGAUAGAUAGCAAUUCAACAGAAGCCAUCAAGAUAACUCUGGUUUGCAAGUUGCUGUGCGAGAAUUGCACAUUGUAUCUUAUUUAACCUUUUGUUUCCCUUAAUCCCAACAACAUGUGAACUUGUGCAGUGGUGGAGGAAAUUAGAAUUGGUCAAUUAAUGUCAAAAAUCGAUAUUUGAGGUCUAAAACUUCAUUGUAAACAGCUUUAUUUUAUUUUAGUUUUGCUUGCCUGUGUCCUAUACAAGCCAUUUCCUUUGUGGAUUAACAGACGUCACCCCUUUCCUGUUUUCCAUUGUGAGCUAGUGUGUGUGUAUGCAUGUUCAGUUUCCUGUGGAAGAAUCUUCUCUCCCGUAGGGACUCAGGUCACGUAUUAACAUAAAGGGCAGUGACUUCCCUACUUGCUGUGGUCAACAGGGAUUUGCUCAUGUCCAAACCUGGGUUGAUUCUUUCCUCUUCAGCUAAGCCAUUUCUUAUUUUUAAAAGGCAGAGACAGGAGGGAUGAAAAUAGAGAGAGCUCCAUUAUAUGUCAGAGAGAAAUUCAACCCCAGGCUACAGUGUCCAGAAAACCACAAAUCAAUUUCCUCCUCCUCCUGGUCUUUGUCGUCUAACGGCAUGUGCUUGCAGCCAUCUUUAUCAUUGAGAGAAAAGGACUGUUUUCCCCAGUAUAUUGAUGGACUCACCUGGUCUGAUAAACAAUGUAGGUUAGGUAUAGAAAAGUCUUGCAUUGUUAGUAUUUUCCUUGCAACCUUUUAUUCCUAUCUGUUUUUAAAAGAUUCGGUGGGUGGGUGUAGCUAUCCCCUCCUGCCUGCUUGUGACUAACACUGCCUUGCCCGCUAGCCCAUUCAAAGAAAAAGCCAGGUGCCACCCAGUUUGUAGCUUCCUUUCCCUUCCAGCUCCAGCUGUGGGAAGAGUGGACUCAAUGGAACAAUGGCAACAGAUGGCGGCAGCUACUGGAAUAAGGCUGGGUUAUGUUUCAGUGCAAUUUAGGCUGCUUUCUGGCUGUCACUGUUUUGUGGGAGGGAUUCAGUUGCAUGCUGGCAAGUACACAUUGUGCAACUGCUGUGAGUUUUGUGGUCAUGUGCAGAGAAUUCGUUUCCAAAAAUAUUAGCAAACAUUUUGCAGUAAUGAAAGAGACAGGAUACUGCACUGGAAAGUGUGGGAUAACUACAUAGUAUAACCUCCCCACAAAACAAAUAGGAAUGAAUACUUAAUGAAUAGUAGAUGCCAUAUAACCACCCCGAAAGUUUAUGGUGGGGGGAAAUCAGGUUGUUUGAAAGUGACCUUAGAGAAGGCUAGUUGCCAACUGCAGAAAAUGCUGUCUGGUGGGGCUUUAGUAAACAAGACUACAAUACAAUCAGGCCACCAUGGCUUUAAAAACAAAACAAAACAAAACAUAUGCAUACAGACUGUUCUUCAGGCAUUUCCCAAGCAGAAUUAACCAUGGAAAAAUGGCAUGCAAUACAUUUAUACUGUUAAAAUGCAUCAUCAUCACCUGACAUGAAUCAGCCUAUAGCCUGUGACUACUCCCUAAAGCAAAAAUUAUAAAUACAGACCUCUCAGGCUAACAUUUUAAGGAAAUACUAAUAGCCAGGCUUCUUCUUAUCUUGUCUUUCUCUUGCUAUCUUAAGCAUAAUUAGUAAACAAAGCGUAACUUAACAGAAAGUAACAUUCUACCAACAAAUCCAAACCAUUAUAUUUUAAGAGCAUUUGUUGUGAUUAUUUUCUUUUUUAUACCUCAUAUUAAUUAUUUCACAAGACUCUCUCUUUGUCUCUCUCUGGGUGGGUGGGUGUGUGAGAGAGAGAGAUUUAUUGGGGCUGAAUCCAGUCAGGGAGGAGAUUUUUUCCACAGUGCUGUUUUCCCAGUAUAAAUCCACUCAUCAUUCCAAGCUAGGAGUUGCCCCAUAUUGUGCCUGUAUGCUUUUCCUUCAGAAGGUAAACAGCAGCUUCAGUGGUCAAUUUGGAUUACGAAAAUGGCACAGGGGAAAACCUUAACUCCCACCUCUCCUGUAUUCCCUCUUUAAGCUUUAAGAAAAUCAGAUCUGCUCAUAGAUCUCCCAUUGCCUUUUCUAGUUUGACAUUUAGUAUGUGCACAAAUAGUGAGUUGGCUUGAAAUAUAUAAUAGCCAGUAAAUUUGUUUGCUUCCAUUUUCUGUAUUAAUAUAUAGCAUACUGAUCUGGGGUACUGUUGGGUCCAGUUUAUGUCCUAGUUAUGCAGUAGCAAGAAAGGACUAUCACUCUUCUUUACUAAAGAAAGCUACCGACUGUAGGGUUCUGCCUCAGAUCAUUAAUUAAUACAGAAACAAAGUUGUAAAUCUCAGCUAGACAAUGAAACUAGAAUGGGCCACAUGCAGAAAGUGAAAUAUGCAAUAAAACAGCAGGUAUAAAAAGGAAAUAUCUGUGCUAAUUAGCGUACCACUUUUGGGCCGCGGGUGGCGCUGUGGGUAAAACCUCAGCGCCUAGGACUUGCCGAACGUCAGGUCGGCGGUUUGAAUCCCCACGGUGGGGUGCGCUCCCGUUGCUCGGUCCCAGUGCCUGCCAACCUAGCAGUUCGAAAGCACCCCCGGGUGAAAGUAGAUAAAUAGGGACCGCUUACUAGCGGGAAGGUAAACGGCGUUUCCGUGUGCUGCGCUGGCUCGCCAGAUGCAGCUUGUCACGCUGGCCACGUGACCCAGAAGUGUCCUCGGACAGCGCUGGCCCCCGGCCUCUUAAGCGAGAUGGGCGUGCAACCCCAGAGUCGGACACGACUGGCCCGUACGGGCAGGGGUACCUUUACCUUUACCUUUACUUUGGGCCAGCGCGUUAAAUUUAAAGCACAAAGCUUUUCAUAAAAAGAGGCUAAACUCAGUGGUUUGUGGAUCUGGGGGGUUACUCUCCAUUUGCACUAUUCAUAUCAUUGAUAUUUAAAGCUGUCGGGUCUCUCACUUAAAGUUAAGGUGCCACAGGAUAUUUUAAGAAAUGUAAUGCGGAUGUAUUCUGUGAUUUACUUAGCCAAUGGUUUCCUUCAUUAUUUCUCAUUCACACUUGAUUAUUGGCCAUGCUGGCUAGGGCAGAUGGAAGUUUGAAAACAUCUGUAGGCCAUCACAUUGGCUACUUCUGGUUUAGUCCAAGGCAAUUGUUAAGACUUUGUGGGCAUAAUUUUACUUUAUGCAAUAUAGGGCAUAAUCUGUAAUUUUCAGUUUCACCAAAAUGCUAUCAUGGUGAUAUUGAUGCUGUUUGUUACAAAGCAGAGGAGAUAAAUCCUGCAGUGUUUAAUUUUUGAAAUUCUGAUAAAUAGAUUGUGUGGUGGAAUCUGAAAACAUUGGGGAUCCCACGUCUUGCGGCAAACAUGCAACAAAAAUCUAUUCAAUCUGUUGAAUAUGUUUGCCCAGGAUUCACUUUCCUAAAACUUAACUGCUGCAAGUAGUCAGAAAAAGCAGCAGUUUUCAAAUAUUCACCAUCAUGAAUUGCAAAGUGCAUAUUGCAAAAGAGCCCAAAUUAUUAACAGACAUGUUGUUAAUGGAGAAUAUCCCCCAACAAAUAAUAUUCCAAUGACUCAGAGAUCAAAAGCUUUUCAAUUACUAAUGUGCAAUUUAUGAUAAUGCAGAGUUACUAUAUUUAUUUGCAUACUCUUCAGCCUAUAAAAGUCAAACACUAUGCACAUUAUAAAUCAUUUCCUGAAAGUUAUUCUAGAUGCAGAGACAGAAAUGCCCCUUCCAUUGAAUCAUUCCUUGAGACAGCUUCAUAUAAGAUUAUAAAUGAGCCUGAAUAAAAGCAGACUCCUCAAAGUAAUAUUUGUUCUAUUCCUGGAGGUUAUCACAAAGAUAAACUAUCCAUGUCUGGUGCAAAUGAUAUCACUUCUUGGUACUGAUUUCUCUGACAGUGUAUACAUUUUUAAAAAUGUCAUGGGAAGAAUGUGGAAGAAGAGCGAAUCUCCUGCAUGUGCUCAAAAAUAGCAAUGUGCUCAAGAUAAGUGUUGCAGUGUGUGGGCCUAAGAUUGUGACAGGAAUAAUGUGUAGUUUAGUAUCUUUUACUAGACCACCUAUAGAUGCAGCAGUAAGCUUUGCAAAUGUUUCCAACUUACCAGUUGGAUGUUAAGGAUAGUUGAUGUUAAGGACAGUGUGCAGCAAAAGGUGUACAAUUCUAAACAAAAGAGUAUUAGAACACAGGAGGGAGCUGUCUUAGAUCAAAUCAGGCUAUUUAUUCAUCAAACCUGUUUCUCUGGCAGAUGGCUUCCCCAUCACCAGUACAGUGGUACCUCAGGUUACAUAUGCUUCAGGUUACAUACGCUUCAGGUUACACACUCCACUAAGCCAGAAAUAGUGCUUCAGGUUAAGAACUUUGCUUCAGGAUGAGAACAGAAUUCUUUUUCCGGUGGCGCGGCAGCAGCAGGAGGCCCCAUUAGCUAAAGUGGUGCUUCAGGUUAAGAACAGUUUCAGGUUAAGAACGGACCUCCAGAACGAAUUAAGUACUUAACCCAAGGUACCACUGUAAUGCCUAAACAAAAAUUUGCAACAUAGUCAACUAAAAAUAAUCAACAGGAAAGACUCUCCUUCCUGGAAGAGAGGGGAGUGGUUGUGGGCGGGAGCCCAAGCUCCGCCUCUAGCAGGGGUUAGCCCCCUGCCUCCUCCUCUCACCUGGCUGGCGCCCACGCCCCUCGGCAGGCCCCAACCAGGUGCCUCCAAGGGGGCGUUUACAGCAGCCUUUUGCUGCGGCGCCAGCCUCUCCUCGGCCUCAUUCUUCGCCGUCGUCUCGUCGCGAGUCACCCACCCUCCACUCCCUUAGAGCUCAGGGUCUUAGUUCAUUGGCCUUGCUAUGGACCUUAGGUUGGUCGCCCUGGUUGUCCAGGGGGCCUGGUAGGAAUUUUUCCAUUUGGCAUUAGGCUUUUUGGUUUUUUCGCCUACCUCGUAGCAAUCGUCACAACUUUUGUGGUAUUGGUGGGUAGGUUAGGCAUUGGAAUGAUGUGUUGUGGUGUGUCGAAGAGCUAGGUGUGGCCAUCGCCUAUGCCUUCAAUUUUUGGGUAUUCCGUUAAAGGAAUCUGGCAGUCGUGUAUUCUGUCCGAUGCCUGCUUGGCGGGAGGCCAUGGCACGACCCUCGGUGACAUCAGGGGAGAGCUUAUAGUUGGAUUAGCAUCAACAGGCUCCACCUACUGGUGAAUAAACCCCCCUUGUUUUAGACAUCCAAUGCCUAAGCCAAUACCUUUUCACUGCUGUAAUCAAUAAAGUUGUGGCCUUUUCUUUCCCAUUAACCUUAUAUCACGUGUCCUUGCGUAUUCAUUGCACAUUGCGGGGGUCGGGUCCUCGAACCACAACUAUCUGUUUUCAAUCUCAACUGUGAAAGAAGUCUGCAAUUUUCCUUAUCAUGCAUCAACUAGCAGCUUUGCAUAUGUGGAGAUAUAUAUACACGAUGCAGUCAUAUAUACACGUUUACUCAGAAGUAAGUUCUAUUGUUGCCAGUGGAGCUUAUGCUUAUAUGCAUUACAUGGAGACUAAGCCUCACUAAAAACAGCAGAACAUACUUCUGAGUAGACAUAUAUAUUGUUAUAGAUUUGGGGAGGAACCCUCCCAAACCCUAGAAAUUAAUAGAAGGUAGAAUUUUGAUUAUUUGGAGUAUUAAAGGGAAGAUUGCAGGCCAGCAGGAAAAUACAGACUUAGCUCCCUUUCCAAGCCAGUUCCUCACCUGGAACAGAGGCAUUCACAGAGGCAAAAGAUAUUGAUGGCCCAUCUAAGAGGAAUCCUUGGGCCUGGGCAGACAGAGGUUGCCAAGGUGAUGGGCGUGUGUGUGUGAGAGAGAGAGGUGACAGGAAAAGAGUGUCUUCCGCAACGUGUGCUGGUAAGAAGGCAGAGAACAAAGGUUGAGAUCCAUCUUUGGCAGGCUGACUGAAGGCUGGUUGGGAGAGAUGCCUUUGACUCCAAAGCUGCACUACUGUGGGGAACAAGCCCCUCUUGAAAUCAUAAAGCUGUAAGAUCUGUACUCCCUCCAUGCAGACUGAAGGUGUAAAUAUGUGAACAAAUCAUAUUUCUUAAAGCUGUGGCAGUCUCCGCCGCAUCUUCAAUUCUCCAAAGGAGAACAGAUCCUGGGUGAGUGCUUUGGCAGAGAAUGGUAGUAGCACCCAACUUUUGUAAACAGAUGAUUACAUGAUUAAUUCUGUUUCUACCACUAAACAGUCUGGUGGACUUACUGAACUGUAGGGAUAAAUCCUUCAUAGGCAGCUUGCUGGAUAUGUGAAGAAAUAAAUCUAAGGCAUUAAAAGGAAGUUUUGGGACCUCGCUUAGCUCAGAUAGGCAAUUUAAUCAAAGCAAUGUAUUAGCAUUUCUAGUUGCUAGGGAAUGGCACCUCUGUACAUCUGACUACAAGCUGCUGACUGAGGUGAGAGGCAUAUUAGGGAGAGGUUAAUAUGAUUCCAUCCAUCUUUCAUUAAAAGGUGAAGCUAUUUGUACUCUUGUGGCCAAUGACAAUAAUUCAGACACUGCUCUGGAUGGUACCUCUCAGGCUCAGGACUUUGAUGUCUCUAAUUAUUUGAUAAAUGCAUGGACCAGUUAAUAGCCAAGUGCCGUUUCAGUCGCUAUGCAAAUAAAAGUGGACACAGGUUGAGUCAUUAUUUAAUCUGGGUGAAACAUUGAUAUGGUCACUGAUGGCUAAUCUACUUUUGCAGCUAAAUUUAUAGUUUAAUAAUAAUUAUUCAACAUUACAUUAUCAGGCAGCACUCUGAAAAGAAGAUGCCUGAUGAAAACAUAAGAAUAGUCCAUUACAUUAUUUUCAGCAAUUAUUGUGAAAUUGCUUUCAAAGCAAUCAUGUAUUUAUUAGCCUGUGCUAACAGAGACAGAGCUUUGAGAUAUGAAAGAUUCUGACAGUCUCAUCGUAAAGGAUGCUUUCGAUGCAGUUUGUGCUGCAAAAACUAAGCUUAUUUCCUUCAAAAGGAUUCUCCAACCCUCAUUCAGCUUUGCUUCACUUGCCCUAGCAAAAUCUGUGAGCCAAUGAAUAGGAUAUUGUGCAAAAGUUCAACAACAAAUUCCAUGCCUGUCUGUUCUGAUAAGUUGGGGCUAAGCUAUAUACGUACAGCUGCUUGAGGUGAGCCUGGAGCUGGCAACUGUAUAGUUGCAAAAAGAGAGAGAGGGAGAGGGAAGGAGGAGGAGGAGGAGGCAGGAAUGAAUGACAAAACCAGGAGACAGAAUUGAAGAGCAAGCCAAGAAGUCAAGGCCAAAAGACAAUUCCAUCAGGGCCAAAGGACAAACCAGGAGGCAAGAUGAAGGACCAAUAAACAGAUACAGGCACACACAAAUGUUCCUGAAGUCAUGUUUCUUGGGCAAGGCUGAACUAGAAGGAUCCAUUAGGCAUCCUGAAUGAGCAGAGUCAGUUCAGGGCCUGAGAGUCCGGUACUUCAUUGCCUAUGUAGGUGGCUGCACCCUGCAGUUUGAUGCCUCGUUGAACAAGGCAGCAGCACCUAACUCCAAAGCCUAUUUGAGUCUCAGCAGCUCCUGCCAGGCAUCUGCACUUGAGCCAUGCAGGUGAGGAGAACUUGGGGGUAGUGGCCAUACUGGAACUGUGGUGGAGGUCAGGUGCUUUCACCAAUGUAGGAGUGCAUAUGAACAUCCCCAUCUGAAAAAGAGGGUACAAAUUUGCAUAUGACAUAAAAGUAUUGGCAAAUUUUAUGCAAAUUUGUAUCUUUUGCAGGUGCAGCAGAGGGCCCAAUCCACAUACUGUUUACUAAGCCCAACAAAAUCCUGUAGGCACCCCAAGUAGAGCCACAAUCUAUGGGUGCAUAGCAACAAAAAGUACCUGCCCAGAACUGUUUUCUGCCAAACUAAGACGUUUUGCAGAAAUAUAUUAAUUCUUCAUGUGCUCCAAAGGAAGCCCUAUGAAAUACCUUCCUGCUGUUUGUCAAUCGUACUGAAGUCUUUCUCAGGUAAUUAACGCUGCUGGUGAACAGACAGCCUGGAUGAUAUUGCAAAGAAUUAACAGAUUUUUUAUUACCUUGAGGUAGAAGCUAAUUCUGAAUCUUUCUAAAGGGGAAGAUGGACAGUGAUAAUGAAAGUAGCCAAAAGGAAAUUUGGAGCUUAUUAAGCAAUUCCCUCUUCAGCAAAUGCCAUAGAAUAUCUUAAUAUUCACGUCAGAAAAGCAAGCAGCUUUUUGAGAAGUACUGAGUUGAUCCUCUCUCAGGAGAAGCUUUCACACAUUUGACCCUUUUCCAUAUAAUAAACCACAAAAUUUAGAGGGAUACAGGGAGGAAUAGCAAUGAACCUUCUGGAAAACAUAUCUAGACAUUCUAUUUCAGAACAAAAUACAAUAAACAGCCUUGCUGAUGCUUCUGGGAGCUCAGCCACCAUGUGGCAAUGCUUCUAACACAACAUGAGCAUGGGACUGUAAAUGCUCAAGCACAGUUGGUCAAAACUGAGAACAACAUUGUCAAGAAACACACUGAUAUUCCACAGUUUUGAUCUUAGAAUGACAGUUCUGAUUAGUUUAUAAUUAUGAUUUUUAGCCUGCAAAAUUGUUCCUUUACAAAUUAACUGACAAAACAGAACCUGGGGAAGUGAGGUUCUUGUUGCAUUUGAUAAUUCCCAGUUCCAACAUCUCAUCUCAGUCUUCACCUUAUUCUUCUUAUUUUAUUAAUUCAUUGCUUGCAAUAUUUAUAUCGUGUUCAGCAGCGAAGGUAGUUUGUACGUCAAAGAUUAAAAAUCACAACAAAGGUCUGUGAAGAACUUUGAUCACAAAAAGCCUCAUCCAGGAAACCUUCACACAGACCAGAGCUUUGAUGGACCACUGAGCUACCCCACAUAUAUAACUUAUCUGCUAUGGUGAUGAAAGAGCACCUUCUUUUUCCAUACAAAUGAAUGUCCCUCUGCUCCUAAUAUUUAAAUCUAGGAGGACAUCCACUCAGUUAGAAGCUCUAUACUCACUAGGGCACAUACAGAGCUUUAGAUCAGAGCCACCACAUGCUUAAUAAGUACAGUGGUACCUCGGGUUAAGUACUUAAUUCAUUCUGGAGGUCCGUUCUUAACCUGAAACUGUUCUUAACCUGAAGCACCACUUUAGCUAAUGGGGCCUCCUGCUGCUGCCGCACCGCCGGAGCACGAUUUCUGUUCUCAUCCUGAAGCAAAGUUAUUAACCUGAAGCACUAUUUCUGGGUUAACAGAGUCUGUAACCUGAAGCGUACAUAACCCGAGGUACGACUGUAGUAUUAUCAACUGAUUGGAGAGGUGGCGUAAGGUCAAAUUUAUGAACUGUGACACUUCAGGCAAAAGUUAUGCCCAGCAUUAAAGCUGAAAGUCGUGUCUUUCCCCCUGUCUUCCUUUUGCUGGGUAUUCAACUCCCCAUCCCAUCUCGUUUUCACCCCCACCCCCACGCUGAAGCUAGAGCCAGCCCACCCAUGAGUCAGGGUGAAGCACUCACCUCAGGCAGCAGGUGGAGUAGUUUCGGCUACAUAAAUGUGAACACUCAGUAUUAGUAUGUAGGUAGCAGUGUUCCCAUAUUUCACCCCUCCACAAACAGCUUGAAAAUUACUGAUGGCCUUAGUGGACCACUUAAUAUUAUUUUCUUCCUGUUGUAGCAAUUGUAAUGCUCUGUGCUAGAUGCUGUAUGAUUUUAAAUUGUACUUAUAUUUAAAUUGUAUUUAAAUUGCUUAUUGUUCUUAUUUCUUAUGUUGCAUUUCUUAUGUUUCUUAUGUUGUGGUUCGAGGACCCGAUCCCCGCGUAGUGGAAUGAAAACACGAGGACACGUGAUAUAAGGUUAAUGGGCAAGAAAAGGCCACAACUUUAUUGAUUACAGCAAGUGAAAAGGUAUUGGCUUAGGCAUUGGAUUACGUCAGCUGACUCCACCCCCUCAGAGAGGGGUGAGUCUAAAACAGGGGGGUUUAUUCACCAGUAGGUGGAGCCUGUUGAUGCUAAUCCAACUAUAAGCUCUCCCCUGAUGUCACCGAGGGUCGUGCCAUGGCCUCCCGCCAAGCAGGCAUCGGACAGAAUACACGACUGCCAGAUUCCUUUAACGGAAUACCCAAAAAUUGAAGGCAUAGGCGAUGGCCACACCUAGCCCUUCGACACACCACAACACAUUAUUCCAAUGCCUAACCUACCCACCAAUACCACGAAAGUUGUGACGAUUGCUACGAGGUAGGCGAAAAAACCAAAAAGCCUAAUGCCAAAUGGAAAAAUUCCUACCAGGCCCCCCCGGACAACCAGGGCGACCAACCUAAGGUCCAUAGCAAGGCCAAAAGAAAACUGAGACCCUGAGCUCUAAGGGAGUGGAGGGUGGGUGACUCGCGACGGGACGACGAAAAGUGAGGCCGGAAGGCUGGUGCCGCAGCAAUUUGGGCUGCUAAACACACCCCCUCGCAGGCACCUGGUUGGGUGCCUGCCCGUGGGCGUAGGCCAGCCAGGUGAGUGGGAGGCAGGGGGCUAAUGCCCCCUGCUUGAGGCGGAGUCCGGCUCCCGACCACAACCACUCCCCUCUCUUGCAGGAGGAGAGUCUUUGCAUUUAAUUGUACUGCAUACAAUAACAUGCAGAGUAAGAAAUAAAUGAAGCAAUAAAAAUACAAUUAAAAAUAAGUAAGAAUACUUAAUAAAGACAUUCCACAGACCACCUGAAUGAAGCUCGUGGACCUCAGCUAAUAUUUUAUGUGCCAGGAGCCACGUUGACUCAUGGUCAACCCAGUGGCAAACUUUGAGCUCUCAAAUUUCAGUGGCGCCCUGGGUGACAGCAAAAUUCCGCCUUUCUCACUCCAUUCUACAGCAUUGUUGUGGCACUUAGUGCAGCCAAACCGGUCGCACUACCCUAAACCUGCCUCUGGUCAACCCUCUAGGUGUGGCUGAAGAGUAAAAGUGGGUGUGGUGAAAAUUGACAUUUCAAAUUGAUUGACAUCCUAUACCCUUUAAAAUUUUUCUUUGGGGGGGGUUAUUGGGUUGCUGUUUUUAUUUUGAUUAUCUAUAUUGUGGUUUUAUAUUUUAAUUUGUUCUGUGAACCAUCCUGAGAUCUCCGUGUAUAGGGCAGUAUAUAUCGUAAAUAUAAAUAAUAAUAAAUAUAAAUAUAUAAAUAUAUAGAGAGAGAGAGAGAAAAUGUGGGGAAGGUGGGUGCUGAUGGCCAGACAAUCAGGAAUGUCUACAGAAUCUACAGCAACUACUGACUUCUCUUAUCAAAAUAAAUGUGUGACAGCCCCCCUUUUAAUCAAAGGAAAAUAAAUAAACUGCUGGGCCCCAGGAACUUCUGCCUUUAUUUAUUUAUAUGAUUUAUAAGAUAAUUAGGUGCCUUGUUUUAAUGCAUACUACACAGCCUGCAGAAUCCUAAUGAGACUUUUAUAAUGUGCCUAGAUCAGGGCAAAGAUCUGCAUUGCAAAUUUAAAACCUUUUUAAAAGUCGAAAACAUUUGUGAAUGGACAUUAAUUUAAAUAUAGUACACAUAUGUGUCAGCAUAUCCGAAUGCUUUUAACAGAACUAGUGUUUCUAAAUUAAUUUGACAUGAUUGUCAAUCUCACUGUAUUCAAUCCUGCAGCUUUUAGGUCAGCUGAGAAACCUGUAUACUCAUCAUUUGGACUGCUAAAUUUGAGAAGUACAUAAUCUAUAACUCAGUUUUCCUAAAAUGGCACAGCACCGAGAGCUCAGAGUUGUAGAUUUAAAUUUUAACUGGAACAUUGGCAGUACAAGCAGAAAAUCAAAUUCUAUACAAUAGCUCAAUUCUUGACACUAUCUUUAACCUCUUCUGCUUAUUACCAAGCUGAGAGGAGGGGGAAGAGUGCUAUAUAACAUUUAGUAAUGGAACUGUAACCACUGCAAAUAUAAUUUGAUUAGCCAUACUUGAAACACCUCCAAUUUCUUGCUGCAGCUGCAAAGUCUGCCAGUCUUUUAAGGUAUAUUCCAGAGAAAAUAAAAGCAGCAUUAUCUAAAAACUGGGGCUACUUGUGAAAAUUAAGAACAACAAAAGGAAAUUUAACUUGUGAAAAUUAAGAACUUGUGAAAAUUAAGAACAACAAAAAUAUUUAUUUCAAGUUAGUGAAUACUAAGGGACUCUACCCUGAUAUCAAAGACCAUUUGGAAUGAGAGAACUCAAUGGGUGAGGUUAAGAGGGGCAGAAAAAAAGCAAAUCAUUGUUAUAGGCAUAUAAAUUAAAAGGAGUUCAGGCCUUGCUUCUGAGAGGAAAGCAUUUUGUUCUCUUACAGGAAAAUCAUCAAUGCAGUCAACUGCGUGUAUAUAAAAUAAACUUGGUAGAGAUUCCUUGAGUCCAAUAUACUGUACAUGGCAUUCUUUUGAUGCAAUCCAAUGAAUUUCAGUAGGGUAAAGGUCAGCCGCUGGAGGUCCCAUGGCCAAAUCUGGCUCCCAAUGGCAUGCCACUUGCCCCUCAUCCACUUGCUAAUGCGAGGUCAAAAAUGCCCAACAAGCCAUUUAGAGGGAAUGAAGGUUGAAGAUGUAUGACCAGCUUCAAUAAAAUGAGUCCUAUUGGAUCAUUCCCAAUGGAUCCUUGAAUCCACCAACGGUUGGUUGGUUGGUUGGUUGGUUACCAUAGUUAGUUAAAAACAUUUUAAGGUUGCUAUUCUGAAGAAAUGCCCAUCCAAAGUGGCUUACAAUAAAAGUAGAAGAUAAAAAAGUACAACAUUUAAAACUAAAAACCUAACACUACACUUUUUCUUCUUCAAAGAACUAGGGAGAGCAUAGCUGAGAACGAUCAGGACCUAGCUAAUGAACAUAACACCUGGAAGGCCAGCUGGAAAAAAAAGUGGACAGUGGACUACGUUUGGCUCAAUAGGUCACAUAUUGCAAAGGUCAGCUAUGAAUAAAUAUAUAUAUAUAUUUUUAAAUGAUGUUUAUUGAGAAUUUUAAAAUUACAAAAAAAAGAAGGAAAAAACAAGAAAGAAUUAAACAAUACAAAUCGAUAAAAGUCAAAAUCAAAAAGCAAAAACAAAACACAUAACACAUCAAAAUCAGAAAGCAAAAAUAAACCGCAAAGAUUUAAAAACAGAUCCAAUAUUCCCAAAUCCUUAACUGUCAUUACCUUAUUUCAUCGACCUCCUCACCCUCCCUUUUUUGUAUUCCAGUUAUUAAUUAUAACAGCAAAUCCUUCCCAUUUUUCAUAAUAUUCUGUCAUUAAAUUACCUUAAUCUAUUUUAACCUUAUCUUACCAUAAAAACCCUAAAACUUAAAACUUAAAUCUUAUUUAUACCAAUUUCUCAUAACCAUAGCAUAUUCUUACAUAGUUCUUUUUAACAUUUCUGCUAAAGCCAAAUAAUUUCGUUCCAACAUUUUUCUAAUACUCAUUAAUUUUAGAAAACAUUCCUAAGUAGAAUUUUUAAAACUUUCUUCCAAUCUUCAUCCAACGUCUCUUCCUCCUGGUCUCGGGUUUUGUCAGUCCUUUCUAUCCCAUCCAUCUAGUUCAUUAACCUGGUAACCUUAUGUCCGAGGCCCUUAAGUCUCUUCCAUGUCCCUUCCGCAGAUCUUCUUCAUAUUUAUACCUGUACUUUACUUUGUCUUCUGCUCCUUUCACUCGUGGAGACUCCAGCUUGACAAUAUUUUUGUCCCUUCUCGACAGAUCAGCCCCUUUUCCAUAGUCCACACUGAACUCCAUGUGGUAUGGGGGGUCUAUCCAGCCACCCAUCUCCAAGCCAAACAAGACUCUAUCUCUCCAAAUCUGGCUUUUUCCAGAUUCAUUCGUCAGAUCCAACAACUCAUGUUCCUGCUGGGCCACAGUUCCCUCCAUCUCUGCCUCCCGUCCAGCCACAACCUCCUCCCUCAUCUGAUCUGUCAGAGCACACUCCUGAAUUGAUUCCUGAGUGGGUUCUAUAUAGAUACCCACUACCUGUCCAAAAUUUCUGAUCGCAACAGUCAUCAAAUCCGUCUUCUCAUGUAACUGUUCCAAUAAAGCACUUGUCUUGCAGAAAGCACGCACCAGAGCCUCCAAGUACAUUGUUGUGCAAGGUCAAAGUCUGAUCCCACGAUCUUAACCUAUUGCAGCUGCAAAGCUCCCCAGUUCAAAUUUAAUAACAGUUUCACAAGCUCCCUCUAGGGGAAGAACUUCUAUUUGUAUCCAUCUCUCUCUUUUUUUUUUAAGCAGAUCUAACAACAAAGUUUCCUUUUUCAGAUAUUUUGUCAAUAUUUUGUUCCUUUUAACUGCGAAGGAGAACAAUGGAAUCACUAUGUUUCUCUUCUUAUAACUGUCUGUCAAAAACGUUUGUCUAUAGUCAAUGAACUCCGAAAACGUCUGUCCUGACACCCCGCUCCCAGGUUCAAGACAGUGGAAAAUUGCUUCUCUUUACACACUCUUCUGCAGGUUUAAACAGUCCAGAAAAAAUCCCCCCUCUUCUCCUGCUUCCAAAGGGGGUUCAGUAAUUUUAGAUGAUGAAAGUUGAUCCUUUACAAACGGUUUUCUAAACUCUAGCUUGCCAUGUCUUUGCUUUAAUCUUUCUACAAAAAGCAGAAGGCUGACUUCCUGUUUAGACCUUCCCGCUUCAGUGCCAAAUUAAAAGGAAUUUCUUAGUCCAAUUUUCCGUUCUACUCACAGGUCGUUGUUUAGAGUCCAAUUGUCCAAGUUUAACCUACUCACGGGUAGCUGUUUUUGUAGCCAGAUUGUCACACGAGAAAGGUAGCGCUCUCCGGUAACAGCUGUGCGGCUUCGCUCCACGGAAGAAGCAGUUGACUCUCAGCACCGCGCCGCUUGCCCUGCUUCGCUCCGGAGCCCGUAAUUGGGUUCCUUUACAAAUUGGGGGGGCGCAAAAGGUGCCCGCCGAUCCCACAGUCACAGGCUUCACCCGCCUGUGAUUUUUUAAAGGGUCCCCGCUUCGCUGUAGCAGAACAGACCCGAUUUCCGUACAGCCAGUCCCUCCGGAUCAGAGGGAGUCCGCCAUUACCGAUGGCGCCACCCCGAAAGUCUAGCUAUGAAUAAAUAUAUAACACCAGUCAUGCCUUUAUUCAAGGAUCUUGGGUAUAUCCUUAAUAAUUCCCCCAAUUUCUCUCUCAAUAUAUUGUAAGCUGGGGAGCUGAGAUGGUAAAGGUUGGAUUUCUAGGCUCUCCCUGCAAAAAAAGCCAUGCAAGAUAUAAUGAGUAGGUCUUGUUCUCUGCAUGAAAUAAUAUAAUUGCUGGGAAAAGAUUAAUGGCACCAUAUGUCUUCAAGUAGUAGUUCAAGCAGUAUUUUUAAAGAACACAAAAUAUUAAUGUCCCUGCUUUUCAUAUAAUAUGUAGUGCUUAUAAACUAGCAUCUUUUAAAAUGUUAUUUCUUCAAACACCUGUGCAAAAUAUACAGAAGACAUUAAAGGGAAUAUUCCUUAACGCAGCAUUUAUUGAAAGCUCUAUGUGAUUAAUCAGGAGCACAGCAAGGUAGCUUAAGCACCUAGGAAGUACUCCUUUCCCCCACUUCAAAGCCCAUGUGCCGAUAUUAAGUAUGUAACAGUGACAUUUUCAACAGACAGCUACAUGAUUUAGGGCCUAACAUCUAGUAAAAAUCAAAUGAUCUAGCAACCUACCACUGCAAUCAGUUCACUUUACAUGUCUUUAUUCACAGUAGACAUUCAUAGAUUGGGCUAUGUGUGUAUGAGUCAGUUUUCAAAAAGGGAACUUACAGUGCACAGGUUUGCACAGAAGUAAGUCACGCUGUAAGGUCCAUAUAGUUAAAGCUAUGGUUUUCCCAGUAGUGAUGUAUGGAAGUGAGAGCUGGACCAUAAAGAAGGCUGAUUGCCGAAGAAUUGAUGCUUUUGAAUUAUGGUGCUGGAGAAGACUCUUGAGAGUCCCAUGGACUGCAAGAAGAUCAGACCUCUCCAUUCUUAAGGAAAUCAGCCCUGAGUGCUCACUGGAAGGACAGAUCCUGAAGCUGAGACUCCAAUAUUUUGGCCACCUCAUGAGAAGAGAAGACUCCCUGGAAAAGACCCUGAUGUUGGGAAAGAUGGAGGGCACAAGGAGAAGGGGACAACAGAGGACGAGAUGGUUGGAUAGUGUUCUCGAAGCUACCAGCAUGAGUUUGAUCAAACUGCGGGAGGCAGUGGACGACAGAAGUGCCUGGCGUGCUCUGGUCCAUGGGGUCACAAAGAGUUGGACACGACUAAACAACCAAACAACAACAAAGUCACGCUGUGGACAGAUCCACACCAUACAACAAAAGUACAUCCUGUUGACAUUUUAAAGCGCAAGACUUCUCCCAAAGGACCUGGGGAACUUUAGUUUGUUAAGGGAGUUGGGAAUUGUAGCCCACUGGGGGGAAACUACAGUUCCCAUGGGUCUUUGUGGGGAAACUGUGUGCUUUAAAUGUACACUUGCCUGCUUACUUGCAUCUUGUGUGAUGGGGCUCUGAGAAGGCAAUUGUUAGCAAUGUUCUCUUCCUACUACCUUUGUCCUGAGGAUGUGCACCUUUUAUCAACGUAUAUGUCAAUGCUUUGUAACCAGUCAGCAUGUAAGACAAUAUAUGCUCAUGAUGGCUUGAUGUAAGCAACAUGGAUAAAAAUAUUUCCUGG